GACGAACGCUGGCGGCGUGCUUAACACAUGCAAGUCGAACGGAAAGGCCCUGCUUUUGUGGGGUGCUCGAGUGGCGAACGGGUGAGUAACACGUGAGUAACCUGCCCUUGACUUUGGGAUAACUUCAGGAAACUGGGGCUAAUACCGGAUAGGAGCUCCUGCUGCAUGGUGGGGGUUGGAAAGUUUCGGCGGUUGGGGAUGGACUCGCGGCUUAUCAGCUUGUUGGUGGGGUAGUGGCUUACCAAGGCUUUGACGGGUAGCCGGCCUGAGAGGGUGACCGGCAAAAUUGGGACUGGGAAACGGCCCAGAGUCCUACGGGAGGAAGCAGUGGGGAAUAUUGCAAAAUGGGCGGAAGCCUGAUGAAGCAACGCCGGGGGGGGAAUGACGGCCUUCGGGUUGUAACCGCUUUCGCCUGUGACGAAGCGUGAGUGACGGUAAUGGGUAAAGAAGCACCGGCUAACUACGUG
rnacentral:rRNA from 1 species